rnacentral:ncRNA from 1 species
AGGCGGCUUUCUGGUCUGCAACUGACGCUGAUGUGCGAAAGCGUGGGGAUCAAACAGGAUUAGAUACCCUGGUAGUCCACGCCGUAAACGAUGAGUGCUAAGUGUUAGGGGGGUUCCGCCCCUUAGUGCUGCAGCUAACGCAUUAAGCACUCCGCCUGGGGAGUACGGUCGCAAGACUGAAACUCAAAGGAAUUGACGGGGACCCGCACAAGCGGUGGAGCAUGU